GUGCUCACUUCGGCAGCACAUAUACUAAAAUUGGAACGGUACAAAGAAGCUUAGCAUGGCCCUUGCGCAAGGAUGACAUGCGAAUUCGUGAAGCAUUCCAUAUUUUU
rnacentral:snRNA from 1 species